rnacentral:lncRNA from 1 species
UGGCGAUCAAACAGACGGUAGGUGGGACCUCGCUGGGGCCGGCAAUACGGCGUUAUUGGCCUCUGCGACACACCAUCAUAUCCAUAGAAGGCAGGAAAAGGGCAGGCGGAACGCGGUUUGCGGAGACGAUUGUCGUGGUAUGAUUAUCUUUCCCACCUCUUGCGGCGUUCCUUGCAUGUGGUGCUUUCCGUUUUGUUCAGUGCGGUACGCCUCCUUGGUAGAGCAUUGGUGUUGAUUCCCUUCUGUACUGACAAGUUUGUUGACGGCGAUUUUGAUAUAUUCGUUUCGUGGAUUAGGAGGCAACAUGUGUGGGGUGGUGAGCCAAAACUAUUCAGGGCUUUACAUGUUCUUUGGUAAGUAAUUGGACCAGUUAUGCAUGCUUCUUCAUGGAUACCAACGGUGGCUCCAAGUAAUGAAAUAUGAAGAUUUGUUUAUAUUUUGUUAGCUGAUAUCUAUAUCCACACAGCUAAAUAGCUUAAUGCAACGAGUUGCCUCUCUAUUUUGUCUGUGACCUUUUCCUACUAUGCUUAUGUGAAAUCAUUAACAAAUGACAAAUACCAGUAGGGAUAAUAUUCGAAAAAUAUGUUUCCUAGAAACUGUUCAAAAUAUAAUGAGUUCACAACAUUCAGUGAUGUUGGCUAAAUUCCGGUGACAGUUAAAAUUACAUUGCUGAGAAGUUCUCAUGUCAACAAUGCCUAGCACUAUCAAUCAAUAAAGCAAGCAAGAUGAUUUCCUCGGACGCGGCCCGCAACGUCGUCGGCAAUGUCAUCUCCUUCGACCUCUUCUUCUCCCCUGUGAAAAAAAGUUUUCUUCUCUUUUCAACAUUCUUUUCUUGGAUGCAUGUGAAGAACGUUAGAUAAUAUCUAAUCUUUACAUGCGCUUAUUGUUUCAAUGCGCUCCCAUUCUAGCCCCAAGAUUGGUUAAUGUUUUUCCAAGUUUACAAUAUACUAAUGUUGAAUAAAAAUAUGUAUACGCUUUCAGCCAUGGAGCGGAGAUGCUUACAGACACAAAAAACAAAAUUAGUGCAAGAUAACUUGCUACAACUUUUAUUGUUGGCCUUUGAUUACUU